CCUACGGGAGGCAGCAGUGGGGAAUAUUGGACAAUGGGGGAAACCCUGAUCCAGCGACGCCGCGUGAGGGAAGAAGUAUUUCGGUGCGUAAAGCUCUAUCAGCAGGAAAGAAAAUGACGGUACCUGACUAAGAAGCACCGGCUAACUACGUGCCAGCCGCCGCGGUAAUACGUGGGGGGCAAGCGUUAUCCGGAUUUACUGGGUGUAAAGGGGUGGUAGGCGGGAGCGAAAGUCUGGAGUGAGAUGCCGGGGCCCAACCCCCGAACUGCUCUGGAAACUGUGGAGCUGGAGUGCAGGAGAGGUAAGCGGAAUUCCUGGUGUAGCGGUGAAAUGCGUAGAUAUCAGGUGGAACACCGGCGGCGAAGGCGGCUUACCGGACUGUAACUGACGUUGAGGCUCGAAGGCGUGGGGAGCAUACAGGAUUAGAUACCCGUGUAGUC
rnacentral:rRNA from 1 species